rnacentral:rRNA from 1 species
AUUGAACGCUGGCGGCAGGCCUAACACAUGCAAGUCGAACGAGUGGCGGACGGGUGAGUAAUGUCUGGGAAACUGCCCGUUGGAGGGGGAUAACUACUGGAAACGGUAGCUAAUACCGCAUACCAUCGGAUGUGCCCAGAUGGGAUUAGCUAGUAGGUGGGGUAAAGGCUCACCUAGGCGACGAUCCCUAGCUGGUCUGAGAGGAUGACCAGCAACACUGGAACUGAGAAACGGUCCAGACUCCUACGGAGGGAAGAAGUGGGGAAUAUUGCAAAAUGGGCGAAAGCCUGAUGCAGCCAUGCCGGGUGUAGGAAGAAGGCCUUCGGGUUGUAAAGUACUUUCAGCGGGGAGGCGUUACCCGCAGAAGAAGCACCGGCUAACUCCGUGCCAGCAGCCGCGGUAAUAC